rnacentral:rRNA from 1 species
UACGGUAGGGUGCAAGCGUUGUCCGGAAUUAUUGGGCGUAAAGAGCUCGUAGGCGGUUUGUUGCGUCGGCUGUGAAAUCCCGAGGCUCAACCUCGGGUCUGCAGUCGAUACGAGCAAACUAGAGUGUUGCAGGGGAGACUGGAAUUCCUGGUGUAGCGGUGAAAUGCGCAGAUAUCAGGAGGAACACCGAUGGCGAAGGCAGGUCUCUGGGCCGAUACUGACGCUGGAGGAGCGAAAGCGUGGGGAGCGAACAGGA